CUCUUGCUUCAGUGAAUAAGAGGUCACGCCUGCCCUGUGACUAUAUGUUUAACGGCCGCGGUAUUUUGACCGUGCAAAGGUAGCGCAAUCACUUGUCCUUUAAAUGUGGACCUGUAUGAAUGGCAUAACGAGGGCUUGAGCUGUCUCCUUUCUCAAGUCAAUGAACUUGAUCUCCCCGUGCAGAAGCGGGGAUAAAACCAUAAGACGAGAAGACCCUAUGGAGCUUUAGACAAAAAACAGCCCCUGUCAAUAAACCCUAAAUAAAGGAAAUAAACCUAGUGAACCUGUUUUAAUGUCUUUGGUUGGGGCGACCGCGGGGUAACAAAAAACCCCCAUGUGGAAUGAAAACACCCUUUUUAAAACCAAGAGUCACCACUCUAAGUUACAGAACAUCUGACCAAUAAUGAUCCGGCUAAAGCCGAUUAACGAACCGAGUUACCCUAGGGAUAACAGCGCAAUCCUCUUUUAGAGUCCAUAUCGACAAGAGGGUUUACGACCUCGAUGUUGGAUCAGGACAUCCCAAUGGUGCAGCCGCUAUUAAAGGUUCGUUUGUUCAACGAUUAAAGUC
rnacentral:rRNA from 1 species